rnacentral:rRNA from 1 species
UGGGGAAUAUUGCACAAUGGGCGCAAGCCUGAUGCAGCCAUGCCGCGUGUAUGAAGAAGGCCUUCGGGUUGUAAAGUACUUUCAGCGGGGAGGAAGGGGUUAAGGUUAAUAACCUUAGUCAUUGACGUUACCCGCAGAAGAAGCACCGGCUAACUCCGUGCCAGCAGCCGCGGUAAUACGGAGGGUUCAGCAGCUAUGUAGAUGAAUCUGGGCGUAAAGCGCACGCAGGCGGUCUGUCAAGUCGGAUGUGAAAUCCCCGGGCUCAACCUGGGAACUGCAUUCGAAACUGGCAGGCUGGAGUCUUGUAGAGGGGGUAGAAUUCCAGGUGUAGCGGUGAAAUGCGUAGAGAUCUGGAGGAAUACCGGUGGCGAAGGCGGCCCCCUGGACAAAGACUGACGCUCAGGUGCGAAAGCGUGGGGCAGCAAACA